rnacentral:rRNA from 1 species
UACAGAGGGUGCGAGCGUUAAUCGGAAUUACUGGGCGUAAAGCGCACGUAGGUGGCGACGUAAGUCGGGUGUGAAAGCCCCGGGCUCAACCUGGGAAUUGCAUUCGAGACUGCAUUGCUGGAGUACGGAAGAGGAAGGCGGAAUUCCCGGUGUAGCGGUGAAAUGCGUAGAUAUCUGGAGGAAUACCGGUGGCGAAGGCGGCAUCCUGGACCGGCAUUGACGCUGAGGAGCGAAAGCCAGGGGAGCAAACGGG